rnacentral:rRNA from 1 species
AAACCAACAGGGAUUGCCUCAGUAACGGCGAGUGAAGCGGCAAAAGCUCAAAUUUGAAAUCCAGUACCUUCGGUGCUCGAGUUGUAAUUUGAAGAUGGUAACUUUGGGGGCGGCCUUUAUCUAUGUUCCUUGGAACAGGACGUCACAGAGGGUGAGAAUCCCGUCUGAUGAGGUGAUCCGCUCCUAUGUAAAGUGCUAUCGAAGAGUCGAGUUGUUUGGGAAUGCAGCUCUAAGUGGGUGGUAAAUUCCAUCUAAAGCUAAAUAUUGGCGAGAGACCGAUAGCGAACAAGUACAGUGAUGGAAAGAUGAAAAGAACUUUGAAAAGAGAGUGAAAAAGUACGUGAAAUUGUUGAAAGGGAAGGGUAUUAGAUCAGACUUGGUGCGUUGUGAUUAUCUUCCCCUUGUGGGUUGUGGACUCGCAGCGUGCUGGGCCAGCAUCGAUUCGUGUGGCAGGAUAAUAGCAUUGGGAACGUGGCUUUCUCUUCGGGGGAAGUGUUAUAGCCCUUUGCGGAUGCUGCCUACGUGGAUCGAGGAGUGCGUCUUUAUUGACUAGGAUGCUGGCGUAAUGAUCUAAUAUCGC